rnacentral:rRNA from 1 species
UUUCCGUCGGCAGGCAGUCCAACCCCUGUGACAUACCUAUACGUUGCCUCGGCGGAUCAGCCCGCGCCCUGUAAAACGGGACGGCCCGCCCGAGGACCCUAAACUCUGUUUUUAGUGGAACUUCUGAGUAAAACAAACAAAUAAAUCAAAACUUUCAACAACGGAUCUCUUGGUUCUGGCAUCGAUGAAGAACGCAGCAAAAUGCGAUAAGUAAUGUGAAUUGCAGAAUUCAGUGAAUCAUCGAAUCUUUGAACGCACAUUGCGCCCGCCAGUAUUCUGGCGGGCAUGCCUGUUCGAGCGUCAUUUCAACCCUCAAGCUCAGCUUGGUGUUGGGACUCGCGGUAACCCGCGUUCCCCAAAUCGAUUGGCGGUCACGUCGAGCUUCCAUAGCGUAGUAAUCAUACACCUCGUUACUGGUAAUCGUCGCGGCCACGCCGUAAAACCCCAACUUCUGAAUGUUGACCUCGGAUCAGGUAGGAAUACCCGCUGAACUUAAGCAUAUCAAUAAGGCGGAGGAA